GAUGAACGCUGGCGGCGUGCCUAAUACAUGCAAGUCGAGCGAACAGACGAGGAGCUUGCUCCUUUGACGUUAGCGGCGGACGGGUGAGUAACACGUGGAUAACCUACCUAUAAGACUGGGAUAACUUCGGGAAACCGGAGCUAAUACCGGAUAAUAUAUUGAACCGCAUGGUUCAAUAGUGAAAGACGGUUUUGCUGUCACUUAUAGAUGGAUCCGCGCCGCAUUAGCUAGUUGGUAAGGUAACGGCUUACCAAGGCGACGAUGCGUAGCCGACCUGAGAGGGUGAUAGGCCACACUGGAACUGAGACACGGUCAGGACUCCUACGGGAGGCAGCAGUAGGGAAUCUUCCGCAAUGGGCGAAAGCCUGACGGAGCAACGCCGCGUGAGUGAUGAAGGUCUUCGGAUCGUAAAACUCUGUUAUUAGGGAAGAACAAAUGUGGAAGUAACUAUGCACGUCUUGACGGUACCUAAUCAGAAAGCCACGGCUAACUACGUG
rnacentral:rRNA from 1 species